rnacentral:rRNA from 1 species
UACGUAGGGUGCGAGCGUUGUCCGGAAUUACUGGGCGUAAAGAGCUCGUAGGUGGUUUUGUCGCGUUGUUCGUGAAAAACUCACAGCUUAACUGUGGGCGUGCGGGCGAUACGGGGCAGACUGGGAGUACUGCAGGGGGAGACUGGAAUUCCUGGUGUAGCGGUGGAAUGCGCAGAUAUCGGGAGGAACACCGGUGGCGAAGGCGGUUCUCUGG